UGACCAGAUGGCCAUUUAUUUUGUCAUAUUACAGGGCAGAUAAAGAGUGGAUGCCCAACUGCUCCGAUGUAGGCCGCUCCGAAUCAAUUAUCCGAUAUAUGGCGUCACUUGAAGGGUUUGUCUAUAUUUAUCUUUAAGGCUACAACCUGGAGUUUCAUGGGGGUGUGAAGAUGAUACCUAAGUAAUCUAGGGCAUUGCUUUGGUAGGGGUUCACUUAUGUACAAGAAUGGCAUGUUCUUUCUUGUGUAAUAUAUUGUGGGUUUUUUUUUCGCUCAACACCAUCUGGACUAUGUACCACUGUAACCUGCUUUAUAGUUUGGACCUGAGCGUUGGAGCAUGGUGCUGGACAGGGAACAAGUCCCUAAGACCACUCUUUGGAAUUCCAAUAUACAUGGAGAUAGAAGUGACAUUUGAGGGCCAACAAAUAUGUUGUAUCGUGGAUGUCCCCCUUUACAUCAUUGUUUUAUGAAAUGCACUAACGCUCCCGGAAGGUUGUCCUGAGUAUAUUUGUAUAUUUGUUACAACAAGUAUGAUUUGGUUUGAAGUUAUCCAA